AUAAGUAAGGACGCAUCAUUAAAUCACAGAAAAAAUGGUAAAAACUUGGAAGGUGGCCCCUGAUAAUCUGUUAGAUGCUGAAAAUUUAUGAAAGAAACUGAGAAGAGAAGGAAAUUACUAUUGGCAAUAGAUUGUGCAAGAAUCUUUAAACACAAUUUACAACCGACAAAUCUGUCCGUAUGGAGUGGACAAAACUCCCGGAUACUAAUAUUUAGACAAACAUUCAAUGCCCUUAAAGCUAAUCCUGACUAGAUAUUUAUAGAAUACAUAUUGUUUAAAAUAACUAGAAAACUGUAAAGCCUAAUCGGAUAGUAAGUUGGAAUAUUUGGUAACUGCUGGAGAGAAUUAAUGAGGCACUUUCCUCCUAAUGCAGUUUCUUCAUGCUGGAGAGAAGUUGGACUUGGCCGAAGCUGCACAAAUCUUAUUUCCUCUUUCAUGUUUUCUUCCAAAAUAAGUCUUCAAAGGUGGGAUUGUAUCAUAAUCCAAUUAGAAAGAAUUACCUCACACGCUCCUUCAUCUCAAAUCACCAAAUAUCAUUCUCCCCUGUUUCAUUUCAUGUAACCAUGACCGAACAGGAAUUUUAAUAAAGAUUAGACGUUUAGAACAUGUUACGACUAAAGAGUUCCAAAUAAAUGUAAGUGUCAAUCUUUUUGAAGGAAUCAUACAAAAUGAAACAAUAUCACCAGAAAUCAUAAUUAAAUCUUUAUAGUUUUUACACUUCAUCUAUCUGAUAUGCGCGGCAUCAUUAAAUCACAGAAAACAUGGUAAAUACUUGGAAGGUUGCCAUUGAUAAUCCAAUGAGAAAGAACCAUCACACUUUAUCUCAAAUCACCAAAUAUUAUUCUCCCUGGUUUCCUUUCAUAUAACUGUGAUCAACCAGGAAUACUAAUAAAGAAAAGACUUUGCAAACAUGUUAUGACUUUUCAAACAUUUUACGACUAAAGUGUUCUCAAAUCUAUUAAAAAUGUCAAUCUUUAUCAGAACCACUCAAAUAAAAUGAAACAGAUUGGAUAAACUAUAUCUUUAAGUGCAUUCCAAAAUCGGAAAUCUGUUGUUCAUCAAUGGCAUCAAAAUUGUCAAAUCUCACUUUCAGCAAUCACUACUCAAGUACCAGUGUACCACUACCUCCUACAUCCUAGAGAACUAUAUAAAAUAUUCAAGUUCUGUAUAGUGACAGAGUAAAACUUAUUUUUACAAUCAGAUCACUUAUUAGGUAAUUACAUGUUAAUCAAUCAAUAAGCAUUAAUAGAUAAUCUAAUAAAAGUAGUAACUAUCUUGUCCUCAGUCUAAAUAAAUUUUUAUACUCGUGUAUAUAACUUAAAUCGAUAAAAUAUACAUAAAAGCAAGAUCUAGCGGUCGAAUUACACAGUCACCAAUCUACAAAGUCAGAUCCAGGCAAAUCAAAUCUGAAGUACUAAGAAGAAGAAAACACACACACACACAACAACAAAAAAAAAAAGUAACAAUUGGAAUCAAACUGAACAGUUUAAUUAAACCUGAGGUGAAACAACUGCCGAAAUAUUAGAUCGAUCCUGAACAAAGCUGACUUAGCUUAAAUCAAUCCAAAAUAUAUGCAAUUCACAGCAGUCUCCAAUUCAGUUGAUGCAAGGCGGGACAAAUUUCGCCGCAAAACAAAAAAUGUUGAUAACUUCGUACAUCUAAUCUCCAUUUAAUAACAAUCACCGCCGUUGUGAUUGCCGCCGCCGCCACCGGCGAAUUAGUCCCGACCUGCACCAAGCGAAUUAGAGACAGCCGCAAUAAAUGGAAAUACGAGACUAGAGAGAACUGUGUAUAUGCAGAGUAGGGAGAAAGAUGAUAUUUAUAGCUGAAACUAACGAAUAGGAUAAUGACACGUGGAGCAGAUAGAUGCUUCUGCAAAAUUUUG
rnacentral:lncRNA from 1 species